rnacentral:rRNA from 1 species
GGCGAACGGGUGAGUAACACGUGGGUAAUCUGCCCUGCACUCUGGGAUAAGCCUGGGAAACUGGGUCUAAUACUGGAUAUGACCUUUCUCCUUAUGGGGUUUGGUGGAAAGGUUUUCGGUGUAGGAUGAGCCCGCGGCCUAUCAGCUUGUUGGUGGGGUGAUGGCCUACCAAGGCGACGACGGGUAGCCGGCCUGAGAGGGUGAUCGGCCACAUUGGGACUGAGAUACGGCCCAG